rnacentral:rRNA from 1 species
UACGUAGGGGGCAAGCGUUGUCCGGAAUCAUUGGGCGUAAAGCGCGUGUAGGCGGCUUAGUAAGUCUGCUCUGAAAGCCCGGGGCUCAACCCUGGAGCGGGUGGAUACUGCUGAGCUUGAGUCCGGAAGAGGCGAGUGGAAUUCCUGGUGUAGCGGUGAAAUGCGCAGAUAUCAGGAGGAACACCAAUGGCGAAGGCAGCUCGCUGGGACGGUACUGACGCUGAGACGCGAAGCGUGGGGAGCAAACAGG